UACGUAGGGUGCAAGCGUUAAUCGGAAUUACUGGGCGUAAAGCGUGCGCAGGCGGUUUGUAAGUCUGUCGUGAAAGCCCCGGGCUCCAACCUGGGAAUUGCGAUGGAGACUGCAAGGCUUGAAUCUGGCAGAGGGGGUAGAAUUCCGACGUGUAGCAGUGAAAUGCGUAGAGAUGUGGAGGAACACCGAUGGCGAAGGCAGCCCCUGGGUCAAGAUUGACGCUCGAUGCACGAAAGCGUGGGGAGCAAACAGG
rnacentral:rRNA from 1 species